UGGAACCAGUGAUGACAACUGGUGACGUACAGGUCAUGGAUGAUAAAUAUGUGUCUGGAAGUCUGAGGCCAC